UACGAAGGGGGCUAGCGUUGCUCGGAAUUACUGGGCGUAAAGGGCGCGUAGGCGGCUCUGUUAGUCAGGCGUGAAAGUCCUGGGCUCAACCUGGGAACUGCGCUUGAUACGGCAGGGCUAGAGGAUGGAAGAGGGUCGCGGAAUUCCCAGUGUAGAGGUGAAAUGCGUAGAUAUCUGGAGGAACACCGGUGGCGAAGGCGGCAUUCUGGACCGAUAUUGACGCUGAGGAGCGAAAGCCAGGGGAGCAAACGGG
rnacentral:rRNA from 1 species